AAUAGCUCAGUUGGUUAGAGCACCUGACUGUUAAUCAGGGGGUCGCAGGUUCAAGUCCUGCUUG
rnacentral:tRNA from 1 species